GCGCUCUUAGCUCAGCAGGAUAGAGCAACUGCCUCCUAAGCAGAAGAUCAUCGGUUCGAUUCCGAUAGAGCGCA
rnacentral:tRNA from 1 species